GCCAAAUUCUGACCCUACCAUCCGAAUGUCGCAGCAGAAAUCGAGACUCAUCAGACCAGGCAACGUUUUUCCAAUCUUCUUUUGUCCAAUUUCGAUGAGCUUGUGCAAAUUGUAGCCUCAGUUUCCUGUUCUUAGCUGAAAGGAGUGGCACCCGGCGUGGUCUUCUGCUGCUGUAGCCCAUCUGCCUCAAAGUUCGACGUACUAUGCGUUCAGAGAUGCUCUUCUGCCUACCUUGGUUGUAACGGGUGGUUAUUUGAGUCACUGUUGCCUUUCUAUCAGCUCGAACCAGUCUGGCCAUUCUCCUCUGACCUCUGGCAUCAACAAGGCAUUUCCGCCCACCAGUGUUGUUUUUGGCAGGCAUUUUCGAUUUAGUUUUAGUCUUAGUCAUUUUGACGAAAUGCUUCUUCGUUUUAGUCCCAUUUUAGUCAUUUCUAUCCUUGAUAGUUUUCGUCUAGUUUUAGUCCGACCAAAACUCAAAAGGUUUUCGUCUAGUUUUAGUCGACGUAAAGGUGCCUUUUGAGGUUCGUGGUGUUCUUUCCCGACAGUUUGAAGCAUGAGGAAGCUGUGGCUCCACAACUGUCGUCUGUCUCGUCUCCCCGUCCCGUGUUUUAUUGUCACUUUUCUUUUAUUGUCACUUGAACUGUAUCUGAAGUAGGACCAAAAAUCAUCCCUCUUUUUUCGGCCACCGCUGCUGUGCCUGCCGCCACGGUGUGUGUGUGUGGGCGCGCCUCGUCCACCUGCCGCUCUGUGUAUGUGAAUGAGUGUGUGCGCGCAGCUGUGCGCGAGCGAGGCUUUUGGUGCGUGUGUGAUGGGGGCGUGACUGUUAGGACAAAAAAAAAACAUGUUUUGAAACUUUGUUCGUCCACCUAAUAACAAUUUAGUCUCGUCUCGUUCUCGUCUGACGAAAAUGAAUAUAAUUUUCGUCACAUUUUAGUCUUUACAGAGCUUUGGUGACGUUCGUCUUAGUCUCAUUUUCGUCAAGGAAAAAAGGGGUCUGACGUCGUCAUUUAAGUUUUCGUCCUGCCUGACGAAAACAACACUGCCGCCCACAGAACUGCCGCUCACUGGAUAUUUUUUCUUUUUCGGACCAUUCUCUGUAAACCCUAGAGAUGGUUGUGCGUGAAAAUCCCAGUAGAUCAGCAGUUUCUGAAAUACUCAGACCAGCCCUUCUGGCACCAACAACCAUGCCACGUUCAAAGUCACUCAAAUCACCUUUCUUCCCCAUACUGAUGCUCGGUUUGAACUGCAGGAGAUUGUCUUGACCAUGUCUACAUGCCCAAAUGCACUAAGUUGCCGCCAUGUGAUUGGCUGAUUAGAAAUUAAGUGUUAACGAGCAGUUGGACAGGUGUACCUAAUAAAGUGGCCGGUGAGUGUAUAUAUAGU